AAAGGAGCAGAGGCUCUUGGAGAUGUAAAAGAUGUCCUUAGAAGCAAAGUUUGAUAUACUCUUCCACCUUUUUUUUACUAGCCCAAACCAGAUGUAAUUUGGUGUCCUUUUUACAGGACAGGAGAAGGAUCUCACUUAGAUCAGCAUUUGAUAUUCAUUCCCCUACAAAUACACCCAACUGUCCCAUAGUGCUACUUCCUGCAAUCACUAUUAAAGAAAGCAUGAUGCAUAAGCUUUUUGUGUAAAUGGAAGAGACUGAAGAUAUUCCUUAAACUCCCCCAAUGAAACAAGCCUUCUACAUAGAGAAUCAUAGAGCAAUCAAAAUAUCUGGAGUAAGAGUCACCCAUCUGUGUUGCCAAAGAAAAAAAAUUCAACUCCUCUGCACCUUUAGAAGAAUCAGAGGACAGACACAAAACAGGAAAUAACAGAAUAGCCAAAUUCCAAAACACUAACAACAUCUCCCUCAAAAUAUACUUAAAAUAAUAAAUGGACAUACGCUGCUUGAGCACUAUCACCACAAGCAAGAACAUUGGCUGUAUGAGGUUCAAAGAAAUUUGAGUAGGAAAAAAAUGUAGACAAUGCUAAAAAAUGCUUGACACUAAUACAUAGACAUUCUCAAUUAUUUCCUGGGAGGAAAAAAAUACUGAAAUAUAAAACUUAAGUGAAAUACUGAUCCAGAUAAGGCAUACCUGAAAUGUGCCUUCUCUUCUGCAUUUUUCCUUAAGAGAAGAAAAAUCAACAGGUGAAGCAUACUGCUCUGCUGUUAUGUUGCCUGAGCAAUAAUGCAGGAAAUAGUACAGAGGCAGCAAUAAUGGGUAUGGAUCAAGUUUGCUUUCUCAGUGAACUGUGACACACAAGCAAUCAACCAACAAUCCUCAUAGAACUUUCCAAAAUCUGCUAAAACAGGCUGAGUCACAAUGCAAGUACUUUUAUAUAAGAGUUUAAGAUCUACGUGCAAGACCAUUCUUGAGAUGAAGACAACACAGGACUGAUAUAAUAUAAUCUUGGGAACAUAAAUGAUAAAUUUUAUACACAUGUGUAAUGUGAUAUCUGACAACACUUGAAUUAUGACAGCUUUCACUUGGAAGUGCUGUCAUGUGAAAGUGAUGAGCUUCUUGCUCAUCUGCUUCUAGCAGUAUGCCCUGCAAUGCACAGCUGUAAGUACUUUCUUUUAGCUGUGAAAUUUCUGUAUUGUUAAAUCUUAGUCAUAAGCAUGCAUGUCACAUGCUUGGGAUUCAGUUUUAAGGUGUCUGCUGAGAUUUUGCAAAAGCAGUCUAAAAAGUCUAAUAACUAAGCAAUUUCUCUUAACUGCUCAGAUACUUAACAUUAUUCUACCUUUGUUUUUUAACACCCCUCCUCCCCAAUCCACCCUCAUAUGUAAAGCUUCCUAAUAUAAAAUGUACAUACAACCUUUUCAUUUUCUUUUUAUGGUUGUUUUCUAUUUUUCUAAUUUUUACUGAGCUGUACAGGCCAACUCAGUAAAUACCUGCCUACCUGGAAGCCUGCAGGAGCUACUGUACACACCAGGCACCCUCACAAAAACUGGUGCCUUUCACCACAGGGUUCAGUACAAAUACAGCAGCAGUAUGUUUUUUGCGUGCCGUUAUCAAAACAUCAGUCCGAUUUAACACCCUUUGUUGUUGAUGCUCUGUCCAACACCUGCUUUUCCUCUCUACUACUCUCUUUCUCUUCCAAGUGCUCACUUCCUGCCAUACUGUCUUCACUUCAAGAAUCAAAAUACUGUGCCUCAGGCAAUAAAAAAAAUUACAUUAACCUGCAGACAGUAAAAGGAUCAGGAACAGUAUUUCCAUGCCACAGACCACAUGAAGUAGUAAAGGUGCUGUACCACCUCUGGGAAUAGUCAGGACUGACAGCAUGGAAGAGUCUGGAGAUCCUGCUUUGAAUUCAGUACUUUGCUUCUCUGAAGGUAGGUUUGACAUUGCAGUGUUUGGCUCUACACACAACAAAUAUGAAUGCUGGCUAUCUCUUAAGACAAAAUUAAUCACCAAUGCUUCUGUUGUUGAAAAGUAUUUUGGAUGGCAGGCUUAAAAUUGGCUCUGUUGUGUCUGGAAGAGACAUCAGUCUAUGCUGCAAUUAUAUAUCUUAAACGCUGAAGCAACCAGCUAGGAUAUUUUAACUUCACUGAAGAUAUCAAAUGCCUUCUUUACACAGUCAAAAAAAAAAAAGCCAAUUCAAUUAAUUGCAAUGGAACUUUAAAAAUAUUUAUUAAAUUUUAAAUGUUAAUAAUAAAAUUAUAUUACCCAUUCUUUAAAUUAUAUUCUUAAUUAGAACUAGUAUCUAGCCAGAAUUAUAAUUUGGAUUAGUGACUAUACACAUCUCCUCUAAGUCUACAAUGAUUCACCAGUGCCCCUGACACCAAAGUACCAGUUAAUCCAACCUAAGCACCUUGAACAGCUCCACAGAGUCCUUCAUUGGUACAUGCAAGAAACACAACUUCAAAAGCAUUGCUUGUUCAUAUUCCCCUCUACUCUAUUCUUCAGUAAGGCACUGUGAUCUCACAGUCAUCUGGCAGGACAAACCAUGCUUCUAUACAGAACUGUGAAGGACAUUACAGAAUGACACAGAAAAGCCAAUUAAACUAUCUCUUUGCCUCCACUCUGCAUUCUUGAGCAAGAGCAGUCAGAUAUAGACCUCUAAUCCACAGAGGAUGAAGCUGUAAGCACAUUCCCGUGGGCCACGCUGAACAGCUUGCUGGGUGCGGGGACUUGAAGUGCUACAUUUCCUGAUGGAAACUUGCCUGAAUUCUAUCGUGAUUAGUAAAUAUCAAAUACAA